rnacentral:lncRNA from 1 species
AAAGGGAAGAAUGACCUUACCGGCAUGUAGGUACGCCAGAUCAGGAUUUUCAAUAUCUGGGUGUAGUUCUUUCAAGUGGUUACGAAACUCUACAGGGAUAUUGGUUCCAUAGUCACAUUUAGGACAGUUAUACAUUUUCACUCCUUCAUGCUUUCCUGUAUGUAAAAUGUGUUUACGGAUGUUUUCAGCACAGUUAGAUCUGUGUGUUGCCUUCGAUGCUUGGUGAGGGCAUGACGUGUCCC